GCGUGGGUGGCUCAGUGGGUAAGGUUUAGGGCUUGUGACUGUAAGGUCCCGGGUUCGAAUCGCCCCAGUG
rnacentral:tRNA from 1 species